GGGAGCCGCGGGAACGUGCGGUGAGUUCCCGGAACGAGUGUGGGAAAUGGUACCAAAGGCUAGGCUUCCUUGGAAUGUCCGCAAACACACUCCGUGAAAGUUUUGAAGAUAAAAGGCAGAUCAAACAGAAACUGCAGCUGCUAACUUUACUGCGACUUUAUUUCUGACAUAAAAUGCCCUCAGCGUAUACUCACGUAAGGACCAAACUGCCUUCGUUAAAGGUGCGGGUCAUGGCAGCCCCGCGCCUGCGCAGAGCAGACGCGGCGCAGCUUAGCAGCCGAUCUGCUCUGUGACGACACAGAGACUGCUACGCCACCGCCGCCCGGCUCCUCAGGGACUGCCUGGUCCCCGCCCGCAGUGAGGGAGGCGGGCUGCCGGUCAGAGGGUGGAGGCCUAGCGAGGCGGAAGUCUCCGGCGGCUGCUGUUCACGCCUCUAGGGGGCCGGGAGGGAGCAUCUCCGCCGGAAGUGGUAGCGUGGCCGAGCGGUCUAAGGCGCUGGAUUAAGGCUCCAGUCUCUUCGGGGGCGUGGGUUCGAAUCCCACCGCUGCCAGGGCUUCUUUUUCUUUCUUCACGCGCAGUGUGGACCGUUCCCACAUCCUGAGUCAGGCCCCUUUUUCUCCUCCUUUGACUCGUGUUUACUCCGGAUACAGCCGCAGCCCGGCCAGGAGGUGCUUUUGUUCUCGCGGUCCUCAGUACGAACGAAGGACCGUACGACAGACUCCGGCAUCCCUUUGUACCUCGAGGCACAUCCUCCGACGCCUGUGAAGGAAUAAGAUGUGUCCAGAAUGGCUCCGGAUCUUCCUGAGGCCCCGGCAGCCGGCUGUCUCGUGUCUGGAACCCUGUGCAGAUCCGACAAGAGACCCCCGCGGAGGGGGUACUGGUCCCAUGACUCCGGACACACCCGCCAGCGCCCGGUGCGAUCCGGCGACAGGGUUUUCUAAGUGGACUUCCUCCAGGAGGGUGAGGAUGGAUGACGCAGCACUAAGAACAUACUAGAACCAGCUGUCGCACGGCACACGGCUGGUGACUGGAGCUUCCCCGUCACUCACCUGGGAAGAAGCAGGUCAGGAACCCCCAGUCCUGCAGGUCCUCAGCGCAGGGCACGGCCCCUUGCUCCAGAUGGGAGAUGAGGGGUGGCUUAGGGCAGGCAAGGCCUGCUCGUGGAGAAGGGAAGUCAGUGUGCAUAGCAGAUCACCUCUGUCCCAACACCCGGCCUUGACCCUUCUGCUCACACUGCAGAGGAGAGUGUGAGCAGGGGGGAGAAAAGGGUGUAGUUGGGGGGGUCUGCCAAGGUGGAAGCAAGCAUGUAGGGAUGACCUCAGAAAGGUCACGCUCAGAAGGGCAGAGGAGGAGACCCCAGGAAGCAGUCACUUGGUUGUAUUUUCCCCGUUGUGGCUGCGAGGGAAGAAUGAGGGCUCUGACUUUCACUGGGAGGCCCGGAGACGUCAAUAGACAGCAAGUAAAGAGUAAGGACAGGAAAAAGGACUAAGCCAAGCACGGGGUGUCCUCACCAGCUGACAGCAUGUUGCCAUAGUUCUCCAGCAUCACGUCAGUGUACAGGUGCCUCUGGGCGCGGGUCAGACACUGCCACUCUCCGCUGCUGAAGCACACGGCCACAUCCUCAAACGUCACCGCGUCCUGCAAGGAUAUGCUCCCGCUGACCCGGAGGAAACCCCAGUCCCCAGGAAACAGACGCAGAAGAAGGGAUUCUCAGGAGGUUUCUAGAAAUGAAAGGAAGGAUGGAGGGGCCUCAGCUCGCCUGGGCCCCACUCACCGGUGUGGUAUUUGCUCCUGGCCGGUCUCCGUGGCUUCCGUCGUUGGCAAAGGCAGGAUGCUGAGGAGCCCGCAGGGCUGAGGGAAGAGAAAUGAGUCAACUUGGCACGUGCUUUCCUCCUCUUCCCUAACGUGCAAGUCUAGACCACACCUUCCCCUCAUUUCUCCAGCCUGUUUCCAGUUUGGGCAGCAGGCCAUGGCACACAGCCAUGCUGACGGUAAAUGCUUGCUCUCCCUCACCUACAACGUGGUUUUCUGUGGUCGCUCUUCAUCCUAGAAUAACCUCGCCUGUCCCCAAGCCCACAUCACUGACUCCUGGCUGGUUCGAUGACCUUCUUCCAGGAUCUGAGUGUUGAGGUCACUUCCUCCAGAAGGACUAGGGAUGGGGAUGGGUGGGGAUUGGCCCACAGCUUGUUCCUUUAGGUAACUUACUAGCUGGCCUACCUCGGGCCAUUUUCCCUUGUUCUUAUUAGAGAAGCAGCACGUGUCCUGACUCUGAGUCUCCCGUUAGCUCCUGGCACGGAGCCACCGUCCCCUCACCGUGCUGCAGUGCAUGCAGUGUAUGCAGCAUGUGGUGUCCAGGUGUCUGGGGCAGCCCGUAGGGCACUUCGGCCCUCCACCUCGGCCGGCCCACAUAGCUGGCUAGGGAGCCCUAAUUCACUCCUCAGGGACCAGCUCCACCUUUCCUUAGCUUGUGUUUGCAGUGACUAACCUUUCUAGAAAGUUCUUCAACACAUCCCCAAUCCGAGUCUGAGCAGUCUCUUUCAGAAGAUACCAGGGAGAUUGGUCACCAACUGAUAAGACUCUAGGAUCACCCUGUGGACUUAGGUCCCCAAAAUUUCAUUCCAAUUUUACCAGAACUUCAAUUUAGGAGCAAACUGGUUUCUUCCCAGAGAAAUUUCCCAAGAACAUUGUUCUUUGGUUUAGACCUGGGCUGUGUCUCAGUCCUCAUGGGUCCUGCUCUCUUGUUCCAUGUCUCACCUACAAGCCCACGCAUUCUGUGACUGUUGGUCACACAUGGUCCCACACCCAUUGGGCUCACAGCAGAGGCUGGUCUGCUCUGCAAGGAUCCUCAUGACAUCAAAAAUGUAACCUCCCAGCUCGGUUUUUUGUUCAAUCCACAUUUUAUUUAUUUUCUUCUUUUUUUUAAUGUUUAUUUUUGAGAGACAGAGAGAGAGAGAUUGGACGUGAAUGGGGGAGGGGCAGAGAGGAUCUGAAGCAGGCU